UACGGAGGGCCCAAGCGUUGUUCGGAUUCAUUGGGCGUAAAGGGUGCGUAGGCGGCGAGGUAAGUCGGGUGUGAAAUCUCGGAGCUUAACUCCGAAACUGCAUUCGAUACUGCCGUGCUUGAGGACUGGAGAGGAGACUGGAAUUUACGGUGUAGCGGUGAAAUGCGUAGAUAUCGUAAGGAAGACCAGUGGCGAAGGCGGGUCUCUGGACAGUUCCUGACGCUGAGGCACGAAGGCCAGGGGAGCAAACGGG
rnacentral:rRNA from 1 species